rnacentral:ribozyme from 1 species
UGUCCAGCAACUCCUAUCCCUACCUCCUCGCGGUACCGGCCGGAAACUAUGAGCAACCUUAGGGAAGA